UACGGGGGGAGCAAGCGUUGUUCGGAUUUACUGGGCGUAAAGGGCGCGUAGGCGGCCACGACAAGUCACUUGUGAAAUCUCCGGGCUUAACUCGGAACGGUCAAGUGAUACUGUCGGGCUAGAGUACAGAAGGGGCAACUGGAAUUCUCGGUGUAGCGGUGAAAUGCGUAGAUAUCGAGAGGAACACCUGCGGCGAAGGCGGGUUGCUGGGCUGAUACUGACGCUGAGGCGCGAAAGCUAGGGGAGCGAACGGG
rnacentral:rRNA from 1 species